rnacentral:lncRNA from 1 species
GCCGCGCAGCCCCGCCACGCUGCAGCUGGAGCGACCGCCGCGGCCGGCCCCGCAGACCGGGGAGGAGGAGGAGGAGGGGAAGCCGGAGAGGGAGGCGCGGGGAGGAGGGAUGGAGCCGGGAGGAGGAAAUAAAUAAAUAAAACAAUCACCUCCGCGCCAAUAAGAGCGAGGGAGAGAGCAAGACGCGACCAGAGAGCCACCGGGGCCCGCUCGCGCGCCUCUGAGAGGCUGUCCGCGCGCGCGCGUGUGUGCGUGAGUGUGGAUUUGCCGGGACUGGAGCUGGAAAGUUCAAACUAAACGUGUUGCUCUCGCCGAGUGCCGAGGCCGCGGCGGAGGCUGCCCAACUUCCCCGGGCCAAGUGAGUGGCGUUGCCCAGCGCCUUUGGCGAGGCGGCGGCCGCUCGGCCCUGCGCCCGGCCGCGGCGGCGGCGGCUCCGCUCGCCCCGGGAGGGAGCCCGCGGCCAGGGCUGGACUCUCGCCCCGCCACCUCCACCGACUCUCUCCUCAGCCUCCGCGCCUGGCACCGCAGCAAGACUUGAAUGAAGUGAUCAUGUAAACUAGAGAAAGGAGAUUAAAAAUAACCUCUGGAUAUUCCUCUCAUGUGAUCUUUAUUCUGGAUGAAGCAUUAGGACAGCUAAUAGCCGUGUGUCACUCAAUCUUCGGCAGGGUUAUGUCUUGAUUACUACAAGGUCCUAUUCUCAAGAGUGGUGUUCACAGUCUAGAUCUAAGGUGUGAUUUCUUCCCUAAGACUAAGGACCCAUCAUUUUAGUGCAACCUUCUUCAUUUAAAUGGAGAGUUGUAAUUGCCAAUGCUCACAGCUACUCCUGCUCUGGUGAGUUCCCCAUACCUUGCUCCCAACUACUCUGUCUCUCUACCACAAGGAGGCUUGGUUAUUCCAGUACCAAUCCUGUCAUGUGCAUUAGUGCUGCCUAAAGCAUUCGCCGAAAAAGCUCUUCACUCACCCUUGCCAUUCCCUCAUCAUCCUCACACUCAUAGUCACAGG